GAAACAUUCAUAUGUUCAAAUAAGAUCAGGCAAGAUUCAAUAUACUCAAAACCAAUUCCAUUAUAUAUAAAAAAAUCGUGAAUGACAAUUAGGUUAAAGCAAAUCACAAAUCAAGGACUUAAAAUGUCGAGAUCCUCUUAGUUAAUAAACAUGCCGGCCACUCCUUGAGUUAUAUUGGACACGGCUCCCUUGGAUUCAUCCUGAUCCAUUGCCUCAAGAUAUUUCAUCUCACUGCUUUUCUUUAGCAUCUUAUUACUCUGCUCAGUUAGUAAUAGGUAUGAGAGCAGAUCAUUAUAGGUGGUGAAACCUUUUUCUCAGAUAUGUUGUAACAAUAGAUUUCUU
rnacentral:lncRNA from 1 species